GUCGGGAUAGCUCACCCGGU
rnacentral:tRNA from 2 species